GAUGAACGCUGGCGGUCUGCUUAACACAUGCAAGUCGAACGAACUCUUCGGAGUGAGUGGCGGACGGGUGAGUAACGCGUGAGAAUCUGCCUGUGGGUCGGGGACAACCACUGGAAACGGUGGCUAAUACCGGAUGAGCCGAAAGGUAAAGAUUUAUUGCCCACAGAUGAGCUCGCGUCUGAUUAGCUAGUUGGUAAGGUAAAGCGUACCAAGGCGACGAUCAGUAGCUGGUCUGAGAGGAUGAGCAGCCACACUGGGACUGAGACACGGCCCAGACUCCUACGGGAGGCAGCAGGUGGGGAAAUUUUCCGCAAGUGGGACGAAAGCCUGACGGAGCAAGACCGCGGUGGGGGAGGUAAGGUUUUUGGAUCGUAAACCCUUUUGUCAAGGAAGAAGCUCUGACGGUACUUGACGAAUAAGCCUCGGCUAAC
rnacentral:rRNA from 1 species